rnacentral:rRNA from 1 species
GGGUCUGCCAUCCUAGAGAUAGGACGUCCCCUUCGGGGGCAGAGUGACAGGUGGUGCAUGGUUGUCGUCAGCUCGUGUCGUGAGAUGUUGGGUUAAGUCCCGCAACGAGCGCAACCCUUGAUCUUAGUUGCCAGCAUUCAGUUGGGCACUCUAAGGUGACUGCCGGUGACAAACCGGAGGAAGGUGGGGAUGACGUCAAAUCAUCAUGCCCCUUAUGACCUGGGCUACACACGUGCUACAAUGGACAGAACAAAGGGCAGCGAAACCGCGAGGUUAAGCCAAUCCCACAAAUCUGUUCUCAGUUCGGAUCGCAGUCUGCAACUCGACUGCGUGAAGCUGGAAUCGCUAGUAAUCGCGGAUCAGCAUGCCGCGGUGAAUACGUUCCCGGGUCUUGUACACACCG